GCCUCUCUAGUGGUGGGAUUACAGGUCGGUGUGCCACCAGGCCUGGCUCUAAUUUUCUUUAUUAUAAAUAACGGUGGGACUAGAUCUAAAUACAAGCAAUUGGCAUUGUGCUUUAAAGUGGGGGAACUUCCCUUCUGCUUCAUCACAGCCAGCAUUUUCUGUGAAAAUCAAUCCCACUUGAGCCUUUGCUUUAUGUUGUGUGAGUUUAUGUUGUUCCAUGUGUUCAUUGCGGUCCUUUCUUUAAAAUAUUUUAACUAUGUAUUUUUAUCUUUAAGUGGUAAAACACAUAUAAAACCUAAGUUUAUCACUUUAGCCAUUUUUACAUCCUCACUAACAAUGCCUAAGUGCACAGCUCUGAAGUGAAGUACAUUUAUAACGUUGUUCAACCAAUUUCCAUCUCACAGAACUGAAAUCCUGGACUCAUUCAACAACUUCCCAUUCUUUCUUCCCACAGUUCCUGGCAACUACCAUUCACUUUCUGUCUAUGAAUUUGACUGCUCUCUACGUUAUAUAAGUCGGACAAUACAGUAUUUGUUCUUUUGUGACUGCAUAUUUAACAGCACACUGUCUUCAAGAUUCAUUCAUGCUUUAAAACUGAUCAGAAUUUUCUUCUUUUUAAAAGUUACCCAAUAUUCCACUGUGUGUAAUAUUCCAUCUCCCCCCACCCCAGUUGGUCUGUUGUUGGACAUUUGUGUUACCCUAACUCUCACAAGUGUGAAUGAUGUUGCGCUGUAUAAAUACAUCUUGAGGCCAUGCUUUCAGUUCUUAGAGGGUAUGUGCAGAAUUCGAUAUGUUGAAUCAUGCAAUAAUCUUACUUUUCAUUUUUGAAGGACUUCAGUGCUCCCCUGUUCUGAAGGGCUUUGAAGAAAUAGCUCUUCUAUGCUCUCCAUGGAUCUUGGACACAACUCCAUGGCUGCUAGACCAUGGGAAAGCCUGUUACGGCUGGAUCUGACAGUUUCAAGGACGUAGCAUUCUUUUUUCCUCCCUGAAGAAUCCAUCUAAUAAAACCUGGAGAGCUAAAAAGAACAGAUACAGCCUUGUGGCCAUUUCAGCUACUCCUCCAGGUAGCCUGCAAAGUUGGUUUCUCGGGACCCCUACCAGCCCAGGGCUGCUACAGCUACUGCCAAAAUGAUGCUCAUCAGAUGGAGUCAGUCUGCUUUUCUGCACUGCCAUGUUAGUGCAGUGAAAACUGGCUAGGGUAGCAAUGUGUGCUGUUAGCAGUGUAGCAUAAUACAAUAUAUUACACUCAUUAUUAUAUCAAUUAAAUAUAGCACAAUCUUUUUUUUUUUUCAAUUUGUAUCUAUUGCUGAACACUCUGAUGCUGCGUCGCUUCUAAGCACACUGGCAACAAACAUGGCAGCAUCCACCUCCUCUGAAUGAUGAGACGGGGAGAGAGCAAUGUCAUGUGACCAUGAGAUGGUGAUUCUCUUUGGAGACUCCACAGAAGCCCACAGAGGCCAUGAGCGAGAAGCACAAGAUGCCCACAGGAAUGAUGCAGGCAGGGCUGAGGCUCAUGUUAACUGAGCACCUUCUGCUGGGCACCCAGCCAGAGCAACACUUCCUGCUUGAAUGACUUCAUCACGUUAUUAACCCAGAUGCAUGAGACCCUUUGUCUCCUUCAGAGUAACCUGAUUUUGCGGUUCCCUGGGUUCUGGAGUUUGUGCCUUUGCCUGUAGGUGAGGUCCUGAGCCUGGAAGACUGCAGGCAUAUUGACAUGGUGGUGUUAUACCGCCACCAUGGGGGCACUGCUGGAAUUUCAAGGUACUUAGAAAGCUUUGUUCUCGUCUCUAAUGUCCACGUUCAGAAGUGAAAGUGAGCACGUUAAUUUUACGUUAUGUCGUUCAACUCAAGUACUAUGAAAGUUAUAAUUUAUCAAAAACCAUAAGGACACAACCUGCCUGUGGAAAGGCUCUGGAGGGGUAGAUAGCUUCAGCAGGUGUGUCUGAAGGACUUUAAAUAGGAAGAGUCUCCAAAGAUCCAUAUAGUGAAGGCUUGACUCCCAAAUGCAGUAAUGCUUAGAGUGGGGCCCAGUGAGGUGAAUAGAUCAGGAAUGUUCUAAACUCAUCUACAGAAAGUAGGUGAGUCUGUCGGUAAGUUCAUAGAUAAGGGCUAUUAGCAUAUAGGCCCUCCCUGGAGGAAGUAGGCUACAUAAAGAGAGAGUGCUCCAUCUCCCCUCACCCCUGCUCGGGAGAGUGCCACUGAAGGCUAUGUCUCCCCUCACCCCUGCUCGGGGAGAGUGCCACUGAAGACUAUGUCUCCCUUCACCCCUGCUCGG
rnacentral:lncRNA from 1 species